rnacentral:tRNA from 1 species
GCAAGGAUGGCCCAGUCGCACGGCAGCGUCCUGAUAAGGCGCCUCACGCGGGUUCAACCCCUGCUCCUUGCACCA